rnacentral:rRNA from 1 species
UGCCGCGUGAAUGAUGAAGGUCUUAGGAUUGUAAAAUUCUUUCACCGGGGACGAUAAUGACGGUACCCGGAGAAGAAGCCCCGGCUAACUUCGUGCCAGCAGCCGCGGUAAUACGAAGGGGGCUAGCGUUGCUCGGAAUUACUGGGCGUAAAGGGAGCGUAGGCGGAUAGUUUAGUCAGAGGUGAAAGCCCAGGGCUCAACCUUGGAAUUGCCUUUGAUACUGGCUAUCUUGAGUACGGAAGAGGUAUGUGGAACUCCGAGUGUAGAGGUGAAAUUCGUAGAUAUUCGGAAGAACACCAGUGGCGAAGGCGACAUACUGGUCCGUUACUGACGCUGAGGCUCGAAAGCGUGGGGAGCAAACAGGAUUAGAUACCCUGGUAGUCCACGCUGUAAACGAUGAGUGCUAGUUGUCGGCAUGCAUGCAUGUCGGUGACGCAGCUAACGCAUUAAGCACUCCGCCU